GGGUGAGUAACACGUGAGUAACCUGCCCCCGAGAGCGGGAUAGCCCUGGGAAACUGGGAUUAAUACCGCAUAGUAUCGAAAGAUUAAAGCAGCAAUGCGCUUGGGGAUGGGCUCGCGGCCUAUUAGUUAGUUGGUGAGGUAACGGCUCACCAAGGCGAUGACGGGUAGCCGGUCUGAGAGGAUGUCCGGCCACACUGGAACUGAGACACGGUCCAGACACCUACGGGUGGCAGCAGUCGAGAAUCAUUCACAAUGGGGGAAACCCUGAUGGUGCGACGCCGCGUGGGGGAAUGAAGGUCUUCGGAUUGUAAACCCCUGUCAUGUGGGAGCAAAUUAAAAAGAUAGUACCACAAGAGGAAGAGACGGCUAACUCUGUGCCAGCAGCCGCGGUAAUACAGAGGUCUCAAGCGUUGUUCGGAAUCACUGGGCGUAAAGCGUGCGUAGGCUGUUUCGUAAGUCGUGUGUGAAAGGCGCGGGCUCAACCCGCGGACGGCACAUGAUACUGCGAGACUAGAGUAAUGGAGGGGGAACCGGAAUUCUCGGUGUAGCAGUGAAAUGCGUAGAUAUCGAGAGGAACACUCGUGGCGAAGGCGGGUUCCUGGACAUUAACUGACGCUGAGGCACGAAGGCCAGGGGAGCGAAAGGGAUUAGAUACCCCUGUAGUCCUGGCAGUAAACGGUGCACGCUUGGUGUGCGGGGAAUCGACCCCCUGCGUGCCGGAGCUAACGCGUUAAGCGUGCCGCCUGGGGAGUACGGUCGCAAGAUUAAAACUCAAAGAAAUUGACGGGGACCCGCACAAGCGGUGGAGUAUGUGGCUUAAUUCGAUGCAACGCGAAGAACCUUACCUGGGCUUGACAUGUAAUGAACAACAUGUGAAAGCAUGCGACUCUUCGGAGGCGUUACACAGGUGCUGCAUGGCCGUCGUCAGCUCGUGUCGUGAGAUGUUUGGUUAAGUCCAGCAACGAGCGCAACCCCUGUUGCCAGUUACCAGCACGUGAAGGUGGGGACUCUGGCGAGACUGCCCAGAUCAACUGGGAGGAAGGUGGGGACGACGUCAGGUCAGUAUGGCCCUUAUGCCCAGGGCUGCACACGUACUACAAUGCCCAGUACAGAGGGGGCCGAAGCCGCGAGGCGGAGGGAAUCCUAAAAACUGGGCCCAGUUCGGACUGUAGGCUGCAACCCGCCUACACGAAGCCGGAAUCGCUAGUAAUGGCGCAUCAGCUACGGCGCCGUGAAUACGUUCCCGGGUCUUGUACACACCGCCCGUCACAUCAUGGAAGCCGGUCGCACCCGAAGUAUCUGAAGCCAACCGCAAGGAGGCAGGGUCCUAAGGUGAGACUGGUAACUGGGAUGAAGUCGUAACAAGGUAGCCGUAGGGGAACCUGCGGCUG
rnacentral:rRNA from 1 species